AUUGAACGCUGGCGGCAGGCCUAACACAUGCAAGUCGAGCGGAGCGGCGGACGGGUGAGUAAUGCCUAGGAAUCUGCCUGGUAGUGGGGGAUAACGUCCGGAAACGGGCGCUAAUACAGCAUACUCUCAGAUGAGCCUAGGUCGGAUGAGCUAGUUGGUGGGGUAAAGGCCUACAAAGGCGACGAACAGUAACUGGUCUGAGAGGAUGAGCAGUAACACGGGAACUGAGACAGGGUCCAGAAUCCUACGGAGGGCAGCAGUGGGGAAUAUUGGACAAGGGGCGAAAGCCUGAUCCAGCCAUGCCGCGUGGGUGAAGAAGUUCUUCGGAUUGUAAAGUACUUUAAGUUGGGAGGCGUUACCAACAGAAUAAGCACCGGCUAACUUCGUGCCAGCAGCCGCGGUAAUAC
rnacentral:rRNA from 1 species